rnacentral:rRNA from 1 species
UACAGAGGUCCCAAGCGUUGUUCGGAUUCACUGGGCGUGAAGGGUGCGUAGGCGGUCGGGUAAGUCUGGCGUGAAAUCUCCAAGCCUAACUUGGAAACUGCGUUGGAUACUAUCCGGCUCGAGGAAUGGAGGGGAGACUGGAAUACUUGGUGUAGCAGUGAAAUGCGUAGAUAUCAAGUGGAACACCAGUGGCGAAGGCGAGUCUCUGGACAUUUCCUGACGCUGAGGCACGAAAGCCAGGGGAGCAAACGGG